rnacentral:rRNA from 1 species
GAGGGGCAUCGGGAGUAGCAAUACUUGCCGGCGACCGGCGCAAGGGUGCGUAACGCGUGAGCAACAUGCCCGUAUCAGGGGGAUAAUCCAUGGAAACGUGGUCUAAUACCCCAUAGUAAGUUUUUGGGGCAUCUCAAAGAUUUUAAAGCUUUGGUGGAUACGGAUUGGCUCGCGUGACAUUAGCUAGAUGGUAAGGUAACGGCUUACCAUGGCUACGAUGUCUAGGGGUUCUGAGAGGAAGGUCCCCCACACUGGAACUGAGACACGGUCCAGACUCCUACGGGAGGCAGCAGUGAGGAAUAUUGGACAAUGGAUGGGAAUCUGAUCCAGCCAUGCCGCGUGCAGGAAGACGGCCCUAUGGGUUGUAAACUGCUUUUGUAUGGGAGCAAUAAGGGCUACGUGUAGUCCGAUGAGAGUACCAUACGAAUAAGCACCGGCUAACUCCGUGCCAGCAGCCGCGGUAAUACGGAGGGUGCAAGCGUUAUCCGGAUUUAUUGGGUUUAAAGGGUGCGUAGGCGGUUUGAUAAGUCAGCGGUGAAAUAUUUCAGCUUAACUGGAAGGGUGCCGUUGAUACUGUCGAGCUUGAAUUUAGUUGCUGUGGGUGGAAUGUGUGGUGUAGCGGUGAAAUGCAUAGAUAUCACACAGAAUAUCGAUUGCGAAGGCAGCUCACAAAGCUAAUAUUGACGCUGAUGCACGAAAGUGUGGGGAUCAAACAGGAUUAGAUACCCUGGUAGUCCACACUGUAAACGAUGAUAACUCGCUGUCGGCGAUACAUAGUCGGUGGCCAAGCGAAAGCGAUA